rnacentral:rRNA from 1 species
AGUGAACGCUGGCGGUAGGCCUAACACAUGCAAGUCGAACGGCAGCACAGGAGAGCUUGCUCUCUGGGUGGCGAGUGGCGGACGGGUGAGGAAUACAUCGGAAUCUACCUUUUCGUGGGGGAUAACGUAGGGAAACUUACGCUAAUACCGCAUACGACCUACGGGUGAAAGCAGGGGACCUUCGGGCCUUGCGCGAUUGAAUGAGCCGAUGUCGGAUUAGCUAGUUGGCGGGGUAAAGGCCCACCAAGGCGACGAUCCGUAGCUGGUCUGGGAGGAUGAUCAGCCACACUGGAACUGAGACACGGUCCAGACUCAGACGGGAGGCAGCAGUGGGGAAUAUUGGACGAUGGGCGCAAGCCUGAUCCAGCCAUACCGCGUGGGUGAAGAAGGCCUUCGGGUUGUAAAGCCCUUUUGUUGGGAAAGAAAUCCAGCUGGCUAAUACCCGGUUGGGAUGACGGUACCCAAAGAAUAAGCACCGACUAACUUCGUGCCAGCCGCCGCCGUAA